rnacentral:rRNA from 1 species
ACCCGCUGAAUUUAAGCAUAUAAGUAAGCGGAGGAUAAGAAACUAAAUAGGAUUCCCUUAGUAAUGGCGAAUGAACAGGGAUAAGCUCAGCAUGGAAAUUGGGGCCUCUGGCCUUGAAUUGUAGUCUUGAGAUGUGCUGCCAACGGAGGCGCAGAUGUAAGCCUCUUGGAAAAGAGCAUUCAGGGAGGGUGAGAGUCCCGUAUGUCAUCUGCAGAUCUCUGUGCACGGUGCGCUUUCUAAGAGUCACGUUCCUCGGGAUUGGAGCGCAAAUUGGGUGGUAAAUUUCAUUCUAAAGCUAAAUAUUGGUUCGAGACCGAUAGCAAACAAGUACCAUGAGGGAAAGGUGAAAAGGACUUUGAAAAGAGAGUUAAAAGUGCCUGAAAUUGCUGAAAGGGAAGCGAAUGGAACCAGUUGUUCUUGGCUAGAUUGGUGUUGUCUAAUGUGAUGGCUUGCCACUUCAACGCAAGUGUGGUGGCAGGUUUUGAUCUGGAUGCGAUACUGGUUGCUUGCCUUGCGUGUCAACGUCAGUUCAUAAUUGAGGAAAACUCUAGGGACAUGGUAAUUUGCUUCCGGGUGACUGAAUGUGCCUAGUUGAACUCAUUUUUGAACUGCUUUCUGUGUGUCUGGUAGCAGUGCUCUGUGUGCUUGUCAGCAAUCUCUUGUUAGUUACCUGGCAUGAGACUUGCUGGCGCCUGGAACACAUCCUUGACAUAAGUACGAUGACGAAAUGGUUUUAUUCGACCCGUACUUGAAACACGGACCAAGG